rnacentral:rRNA from 1 species
GACGAACGCUGGCGGCGUGUUUAACACAUGCAAGUCGAACGGAAAGGCCCUGCUUUUGUGGGUUGCUCGAGUGGCGCACGGGUGUGUAACACGUGAGUAACCUGUCCUUGUCUUUGGGAUAACUUCAGGGAACUGGGGCUCAUACCGGAUAGGAGCUACUGAUGCAUGUUGGGGGUUGGAAAGUUUCGGCGGUUGGGGAUGGAAUCGCGGCUUAUCAGCUUGUUGGUGGGGUUGUGGCUUACCAAGGGUUUGACGGGUAGGCGGCCUGAGAGGGUGACCGGCCACAUUGGUACUGCGAGACGGCCCAGACGCCUACGGGAGGCAGCAGUGGGGAAUAUUGCACAAUGGGCGGAAGCCUGAUGCAGCAACGCCGCGUGCGGGAUGACGGCCUUCGGGUUGUAAACCGCUUUCGCCUGUGACGAAGCGUGAGUGACGGUAAUGGGUAAAGAAGCACCGGCUAACUACGUG